GGGGAAUUAGCUCAAAUGGUAGAGCGCUCGCUUAGCAUACGAGAGGUAGUGGGAUCGAUGCCCACAUUCUCCA
rnacentral:tRNA from 1 species